rnacentral:rRNA from 1 species
GACGGAAGGUGCAAGCGUUGCUCGGAAUCACUGGGCGUAAAGGGUGCGUAGGCGGCCAACUAAGUCGGAUGUGAAAUCCCCAGGCUUAACCUGGGAAUUGCAUCCGAUACUGGAUGGCUUGAAUCCGGGAGAGGGAUGCGGAAUUCCAGGUGUAGCGGUGAAAUGCGUAGAUAUCGUUUGGAACGCCAAUGGUGAAAACAGGGAGCUGGGAGUGUGCCGACGCUGAGACACGAAAGCCAGGGGAGCGAACGGG